AUUUUGUAAGACAAUCUCAAGAAAUGAUAUCAAGUAUUAAUAAAACCCGCUUAUUGAUAUUAGCAUAAAUGCAAAGCCAAGUAAUAUUAUCAGUAUCGAUGCUGGAACAGUUCCAUCACAUGCUCUUCACAUCUCUGUUUAUCUCUUUCAGGUGAUCUCAAAGAAAAAUGCUCAAGGGGAGUUCAGGGACCAGAGAUUUAAUGGUUGCAGUUUUAUAGUCUUUAUCAGACCAUCAAGGCUGUAAUAGAAAGAUAGGAGUUAUCAUCUCCAAAAGUUUUGUCAUCUCAAUCAACCUUCGAGGGAAAAUCAUCGCAAGAAAGCUUCUGUUGUUUGGGUCACUGAGCGGCUCUUGUUUCUUGACCAAAUCGCUGCAACAUUAAGUGUCAGCAUGGAAGAAGUCAAAAGGAUUUAAAAUAAAUCAACACAAACUUUCAGAGGCUCGUUGACAUGACUGAUAACGGGAGGCCAUCAUGGGGCAAAAGCCAUGUUCAUCCAGACACCUUCCAAACGGACCAAGAUGAGAAACAGAAGAACAUGGAGAUUUUGCAAUUUGAGCUGAGGCAGGCAGGAGCUCUUUGGCAGAAGAGGAGGCCUCCCAAGGGGCUUGGAGGUGAACAGCAGAGCCACCAAGGACAGUGUGCAGGAAUCAGAGUGAUGUUCUCUCUCAUGGGAAGAGAAAGCCGUACAGCAACUACACCAGGGCAGAACCCUCCAUGGGAGAUGACAGCCUGUAAACUGCUGGGACUACCAGAAAACACAAUAAACACCGUGAACCACCGGAAGGAGCCCGCCAGCUGCAGAAAGGCAGCAAGAGGAUCAAAAGAGCAAUGUCCCAGGCAUUCCUGA
rnacentral:lncRNA from 1 species